rnacentral:lncRNA from 1 species
UUAAAUUUCUGAACUUAUUGAUAUGAAAAUAUAUUUUCAUUUCCUCGUCUUCUUACUUAUUCUUUUCAUGUGUUUUGGUAUGUACCAAAUUUAUCAAAAUAAUUCAAUAUAAAAUUUAGCUAACAUACCAUGAAAAUUCUGUGUAGAUAUUGUCUUAAGAUAGGAGAAAAAAUAUUUAAAAUGGAGAUUUAAAAAAAAAAAGCAUCUUUAAAUCUUGUUUGUUAAAAAUAAAGAUACACAGACAAAAUAAAAUUUAAAAAUUAUUUUUGUUUUCUUCUUUUGUUAAUAUCCUCAACAAACUAACUUCUUCUACCACUAUUCUUGAGUGUUGACCAUUAAAGUUUUUGGCUUUAUACAUUAUUAUGUCUCCUAUAUAUUGAGUGGAUAAAAAAUUUUAUAAAUUUUUGUUUCUCAAUUAAAAUCUUUUUCUUAAAUUUUUGUCCAUAUCCUUCUUUUUAAAUAUUUUUAUUCCUGUAUUUGUAUUUCUAUUUCUAUUUGUCUGUCUAUAUUUUUUUUUUAGAACAAAUAGAAUCUAAGGACAUGUAUCAAGAUUAUUUCCAAUAGAAGUUUUUAAAUUUUUUAUUUUAAUACACGUAUAACAAAUGUAUUAAAAAUUUAAAUUUUAUAUAUUUUUCAAAAAAAUAUUUUCAAAUUAGUAAUAGCAAAUAUUUGCUAAACCCUUUAUGAUUUUAGUUAUAACAUGUUUUAUUUUUAGCAAUUGUUAUAUGAUUUUAAUUUCUUGGCUAAUGACUGUGUAUUUUAUGUCUGAAUGUUUGUAGGUAAUAGCCAAAUGCAGGUAACAGAAGAAACAACAAUAUGCUUUAGUAUUGUCAAGGGAAAAUAUUGUCCAUACACAAAGGAGGAUAAAUGUUUUAAGGCUUGCCUGUCUCUUCAUGGUGCUCACAGUUUGAUAUAUGGAGGAUGUGUUCCAGAAGGAUGCCAGUGUACUUUUUAUAAUCCAGAUAAAACUAAACCAUGUCCACCAUAUGAUGUUUAAUUUGUUAUAACUAGAACAGUGAUAUACAUUAGUUGUUUAUCCUUUUUUGGGUGGCGUUCUAAUAAUGGUGAAUAAAAUGAUGGCUGUAUUAUAUUCUCUAUCUAUCUAUCUAUCAAAAUAAUAAUUAAACAGUGGUUGUACUAUGAUUUAUAAAAAUCAUAUUUCAGCACUUAAUAAUAAAAUUGAUGUGGUAUACUUUUAAGAA